rfam:Takifugu rubripes chromosome, Chr_4
GUGUGACAAUGAUAACUUGGCUCUAAACUCUAAUUGGGGAUGACCAAGUUUGAUGCCGCUACACAC